AUCCUUUCGCAGUGGCAGUAUCGUAGCCUAUGAGGUUUGUCUGAGGCACGAUUGUUGCUAGUUGAAACUUUACCCAAUACCCCGCCUUGACGACUUGAAAUAUAGUUGGUCAUUGCGAUUUUUGAUGGUCUCUAAGGAGA
rnacentral:snRNA from 1 species